UAUUGGCUUUUUCUAAUUUAUUACAGGUCGUCAGAAAAAAGAGGGUAAUAAAUGAGGAGCAUCGUUUGCCUAGCCUAUUCUUUGAAUCCACCACUUAUUCAGACAAGUCCACAUACAUCUUUUAUAGUUGGUACAAGCUUACGAAGAGAACGGGGUAAAAGUAGCCGGAUGAGAGAAGAGAGCAAAGGUGGAAUCUCACCAAAAAAAUCCAUGAAGUCUAUGGCGUAGAUAUCUUUGAGGAGGCCAUGAUAGAAGUCGAUGAGGAGAUGACCCCUCUCAAGAAAGAAGACAGGCUAGCCAGCUCCAAAAAAGAGAAUUUUGAGAAGAGGCUGAGGAAGCUUGAUGAGAAGGUCUAUUUCCUACGAGAAAAGGCGGCUAAGGUUGAGAAGGCAAUUGGCACCACCAAAGAAGACUCACAUGAUGCUUUU